rnacentral:rRNA from 1 species
AGUGAACGCUGGCGGUAGGCCUAACACAUGCAAGUCGAACGGCAGCACAGUAAGAGCUUGCUCUUACGGGUGGCGAGUGGCGGACGGGUGAGGAAUACAUCGGAAUCUACUUUUUCGUGGGGGAUAACGUAGGGAAACUUACGCUAAUACCGCAUACGACCUACGGGGGAAAGCAGGGGAUCGUCGGACCUUGCGCGAUUGAAUGAGCCGAUGUCGGAUUAGCUAGUUGGCGGGGUAAAGGCCCACCAAGGCGACGAUCCGUAGCUGGUCAGUGUGGAUGAUCGGCCACACUGGAACUGGGCCACGGUCCAGACUCCUACGGGAGGCACCAGUGGGGAAUAUUGGACAAUGGGCGCAAGCCUGAUCCAGCCAUACCGCGUGGGUGAAGAAGGCCUUCGGGUUGUAAAGCCGUUUUUUUGGGAAAGAAAAGCAGCAGGUUAAUACCCCGCUGUUCUGACGGUACCCAAAGAAUAAGCGCCGGCUAACUUCGUG